UACGAACUGUGCAAACGUUAUUCGGAAUCACUGGGCGUAAAGCGUGCGCAGGCGGUUUGCUAAGACAGGUGUGAAAUCCCCGGGCUUAACCUGGGAACUGCGCUUGUAACUGGCAAGCUAGAGUGUGGCAGAGGGGGGUGGAAUUCCAAGUGUAGCAGUGAAAUGCGUAGAUAUUUGGAGGAACACCGAUGGCGAAGGCAGCCCCCUGGGCUAACACUGACGCUCAUGCACGAAAGCGUGGGGAGCAAACAGG
rnacentral:rRNA from 1 species